AGGGAGCUAGUCCAAAUAAAGACCUCUGAUUUCGGCUCAGAAAAUCGUGGUUAAAUUCCACGGCCCCCUU
rnacentral:tRNA from 1 species